UGGUGCUAAUUAUAGAUUGGUGUUGACUUAUUUCCUGUCUUUAAAUCUCAUUGGGAUCUAUGUGCUGCAGCAACAUGUCACCUAGGUGUGUUUUAAAAAGGUUUGUUGAAGGGAUCUGGACUUCUGUGGUGUUUUUCCUCUAAGCAAGUAGAACUUGCAGCUGAUAGCAACAGACACUCCUAUAAGCAGGUAUCUGUGAGCAUAACAACCGGCGUUGUGAAACCUGCACUGAAUACAGAAUUGCAAAAUGGCCAGAAUUCCUGUUGCUCUGUCUGUGUGAGUACUGCAACCAGUGGAGCCAGAGCAGCUUUGCUCCCCUCUUUUGACAAAAGCAUGGGGAACACAAGGCCUCAACGAGGAGGCCAUGUUGGAUGACAACCGAGUAGUCAGAAGGAGUUUGCUCUGGCCAUCUGUGAUUGUCUUUGUCUUGUGUUCAUCAGUGUUUCUUCUCUCCUAGGAAAGGAGGUGCUAGCUGUCAUUAUUCAAAGUGUUAAACCAUAGUGCCCCAAAUGUCCCUUUUUGGUUUUUUGAAAGGGUUUUUUAUAACCUGGGUCAAGCUCCUCAUAUUGCUAAUAGGGAUAGCUCAGUAAAGCUUCUCCUUUUCAGUGAGCAAAAGGAUCUUAAGGCAAAAUCAACUUUAGCUAGGGUGCCUUUGUAUCCAAGUAACUGUAUGUGAAGAGAUUGUUGCUCUGCUCUGUAAACUGCUCCUUCUUGUCAGUGUAGGGUAAUGGGGAAGGCAGGACAGGCAAAUGUAUAUUUGAAAGGGGUGUUCUGGAUGCAACACAUGAAUCAAGCAGAAAUGAUGCCGUGUUUGAACUGUUCACUUGUGUGCUUCAGGAGCAAUGAGGAGAAAGAUUUUUUGGCAAGGAAUAAAACCUCCUGCGAUGCAAGAUAAAACAUGUUUGCAGUUUGGUAACAUGUUCUGAGCAGAAAUUUGAAUGGUUAGAUUUGCAUACUUUGAACUCAGUUAUUCAUGACCUGCAACUGAUGCUCUUAACUCCUUUGUUUGCCUGAAACUGCUGGCCAGUUUGGGGAAGUUUCUUGAGUUUUUGCUGUGAAAUGGAAGUGCUCUGGAAAUCCUAAAGUGUCUGGUGUAUCUAAAAUGGAAACAGUAGAUCUUCUACUGCAAGAACAAUAGUGAAUAGAAAAGGAGCCUGUGUGAAGCUCCUUGGGGUUUCCCUGGUGAGUCUGCAACUCUGCUUUUCUUACUUGCCUGUAAUAUGAAGUUACAAUAUGAAGUGCAGCAUGAAGUUGACCACUAAUCCUGAUGUUAAAAGUUCCUUCUGGUGAAAAUGCAGCUAUAGUAAUGAGGUAAUUAAGAUGUCUGGUUGUCUAUGCUUGGAAAUUGAAAAUCUUUUGUGACAGCACUCCGUUGCCCUGCAAGCUUCAAAGUAAAUACAGGACGUUGCUGUCACUGGGUUCCAGGCUGUAUUUCUGGCUCCUGGGAACUUGUAUGAUAAAUGAAUAAGCAGUGUUGCAGGUGUGUCUGAUCUGUUGUGCACUAAUCAUAGAAUCAUAGCAUGGUGGGGGUUGGAACUUCCAGAGUAACAGCCUGCAAGGAGAAGGAAUUGCAGGCAAUGUAGUGUAGUUACCACUCUUGAGAUCUUUCCUGAGGAAGGAAUAACACAUUUUUCUGUAGAAGAUGAAUGUGCUGUGAAAUUAAAUGGGAGUGAAAUUUGGCUUUGGUACUCCAGGUAGCAAGAGACUCUCUUUGACCACUUCCAUUGUAGACUUAUGCCUUGGCUUCUCUUGCCUCAUGCUGUAUGCAGGUGAAAAAAACUCCUAUAUUUAGUAUUUAAUGUAUGACAAAUAAGACAACUUACUGACCAGAUAAGCUAUUUUGCUGUUUUUGAAAAGAAAUCUGCAGUAUCCUCACACUUCUGCAGUCUGUCAUCAUUUCACUGGAUGUCUUCCUUUGAGCCCUGUUUAAAAUAGCUUACAACUUACUAGCUAAGGAAUGAUUACCCCUAGAAACCACAGGUACAGCCCUUUGACUGGAGUGUCUCCUGGGGCUGUUGCCUGACACAAAGGUAUCUCUCCCUCCCCAAAUAACAUCUGGCCACCUCUGUGUGGUGCGUGGCUGCCUUGGGCACUGAUGGGCUGUGCCCGCCAUCAGUGACAGAAAUGGCACUGAGACGUGGUAUUGCCACCUUCUGGCGGUGGAUCCUUUAGCUGGCUGUUGGGUGAAAGAACUGGGUUUGUUUACCCAGCCUUGGGUGUGCAGUCAACUUAAAAGUUGUGAGUACAAGGCGCAGAGUUUGUGUUGUGGUUAUGUAACUAAUCUUUCUGAUCUUCCCUUGCACUUUCGGAUAGCAGCUUCUUUUUCAAAGUUUUAAAGCCUUGCAGUGCUGUUUGGCCUAUUUUCUCUUCAGUAAAGCAGCUGUGCUUUUCUUGAGAUACAUUGACUCUUCUCCAAGUGACUUUUUGCAAAACGAAUUGUUUUUAUAAAAGCUUCUAAAAACUGUUCUGUUUUAACUCUCCUGCUGCUAAUUUAUCUUAUUAGUUUGUAAGGUUACAGCACAAUUCCUAUCAUGAGAGCUGUUCUACGUGCUCUUCUCUUGUCAGAACAAACUCUCUUUAAACUAAAGCAAGACAAGGCUUCCUUUGGGCCUUUGUGCCUGCAACUGGUGUGCAGAUACCUGCUCAUUGGUAAUAAGACUUCUGUGUCUGUGGUCAGACUACAUGGCAUUGGUGUGUGUUUUGACCAAACUAUGGCAGAGGUGAAGGUUUUUAAUGAAACCAAGAGAGUUAGAGCACACCUUAUGUUUCAUCAAGGCUGACUGUGGUGGGAGAGGAUUGCUGUGGGAUUGCUGUCACUUGUGGUGCCAGACUUGUAGGAACAGCUUAGGCUGCCAGAACUGUCUUGCUUCCUAGCAAGCUGCUUUGAGUUGCUCGAAGUUGAAAGAUGCUGUGCUGUGUUUUUGGCCAGUGGUGAGGGUUCUGUUUUGGGGUUGACAAACAUUUGUCAAAAAUGUUCUUGCAGCUUUGGAUGUAAUGAAAGAUGCGUCUGCCCCUUGGUAAACUGGUGUAGCUGUUUGCACAGGGCCAGCUGUGGUUGGCAAACAGCUGAGUGUGAAAGGGCUUGUUGUGAGAGGCUGGGAUAUGACAGCAGGUUCACCAUGGUGUGAUGGAGCAGUGAGCUCAAGGUCAACAACUGGGGUUUUUUAGUGUUUGUAAAUUGUUGCUGAGCUGAUGGCUUAGUUCCUCUCAGAAGGAUCCUCUUCCAUGUCCUGGAGUGGGGGCUGUUUCUUCUUCUUGAGUGUCUUCUGCAUUUACCUAUUGCUGAGAAACUGCCAGUUGCCCAACAGGCUCCAGGUCCUGCUGCCUCUGCCUGACCCACGACCGCUCUGGUGUGAGGGAGGGUGGUUCCAGCUGCUCCAGUGCCUUCCUCUGCUUAGGCUGAUUAAGCUUCACCCGACAACUUCAUGGUGAAUGCUGCAGAGCAUCCUGAAAUGGUUCUUGGUCAGCAGCUGGCGGUUGCUGGCGGUGAGCUGUGUCGGGCCGGUACCUCUGAUGAAAUGGCAGCAGUUUCACUCCUGCGUGAAAGAGGAAGUUGCAGUGCUGCUGAGGCUCGACAGGAAGCUGCUGCAGGAUGUGUGGACAGAUUUGACAGCUCUGUUUCCUUUGGCUGGGAGAAUGUACACAUUUUAACCUGAAAACAGACUUAAAAAUAAAAGGAAUCUUAAGCUUGAAGGCA